UCUUGGUCAUAUAGAGGAAGUAAAAGUCGUAACAAGGUCUCCGUUGGUGAACCAGCGGAGGGAUCAUUAUCGAGUUAUUCAACUCCCAAACCCUAUGUGAACUUACCACUUGUUGCUUCGGCGCGCGCUUCGGCGCCGCCGAGGACACUUAAACUCUUUGUUUUUAUAAGCAUUUCUGAGUGGCCGAAAGGCAAAAAUACAAAUGAAUCAAAACUUUCAACAACGGAUCUCUUGGUUCUGGCAUCGAUGAAGAACGCAGCGAAAUGCGAUAAGUAAUGUGAAUUGCAGAAUUCAGUGAAUCAUCGAAUCUUUGAACGCACAUUGCGCCCGCCAGCAUUCUGGCGGGCAUGCCUGUUCGAGCGUCAUUUCAACCCUCGAGCCCGACUCUUUUGAGGACGGCUCGGCGUUGGGGGACGGCAGACUCCCCCCGGCAUCUCGCCGGGGACGCCGCCCCCGAAAUCUAGUGGCGGCCCUCCGAGGCGACCUCUGCGUAGUAACUUGUUCUCGCACCGGAAAGCUCAGAGCGGCCACGCCGUAAAACCCCAACUUUUUUCAGGUUGACCUCGAAUCAGGUA
rnacentral:rRNA from 1 species